GCGCUCAGGCCUCUCCUCAAAUCGUGCUUGCGAGUUGAUCUUUCGCCUUUUACUAAAGAUCACCGUGGGGUGGGGUCGCAAAUGAGCUUGUGAGCAAUUUUUGAAUGGCCCUGGCCGUUUGGCUGGGGCCU
rnacentral:snRNA from 1 species